CUUGCUUCUCUUGAGAGCGGCGGACGGGUGAGUAAUGCCUAGGAAUCUGCCUGGUAGUGGGGGAUAACGUUCGGAAACGGACGCUAAUACCGCAUACGUCCUACGGGAGAAAGCAGGGGACCUUCGGGCCUUGCGCUAUCAGAUGAGCCUAGGUCGGAUUAGCUAGUUGGUGGGGUAAUGGCUCACCAAGGCGACGAUCCGUAACUGGUCUGAGAGGAUGAUCAGUCACACUGGAACUGAGACACGGUCCAGACUCCUACGGGAGGCAGCAGUGGGGAAUAUUGGACAAUGGGCGAAAGCCUGAUCCAGCCAUGCCGCGUGUGUGAAGAAGGUCUUCGGAUUGUAAAGCACUUUAAGUUGGGAGGAAGGGUUGUAGAUUAAUACUCUGCAAUUUUGACGUUACCGACAGAAUAAGCACCGGCUAACUCUGUGCCAGCAGCCGCGGUAAUACAGAGGGUGCAAGCGUUAAUCGGAAUUACUGGGCGUAAAGCGCGCGUAGGUGGUUUGUUAAGUUGGAUGUGAAAUCCCCGGGCUCAACCUGGGAACUGCAUUCAAAACUGACUGACUAGAGUAUGGUAGAGGGUGGUGGAAUUUCCCUGUGUAGCGGUGAAAUGCGUAAAUAUA
rnacentral:rRNA from 1 species